GGAGAGGUGGCCGAGUGGCUGAAGGCAACGGUUUGCUAAACCGUCAUACGAUGUAAAGUUGUAUCGAGAGUUCAAAUCUCUCCCUCUCCG
rnacentral:tRNA from 1 species